UACGUAGGAGGCGAGCGUUGUCCGGAUUUACUGGGCGUAAAGCGCGCGCAGGCGGCAGUGCAAGUAAGGUGUGAAAUCUCCCUGCUCAACGGGGAGGGUGCACUUUAGACUGCACAGCUCGAGGUCGGUAGAGGGGGGUGGAAUUGCUGGUGUAGCGGUGAAAUGCGUAGAGAUCAGCAGGAACACCAAUAGCGAAGGCAGCUCGCUGGGACGGUACUGACGCUAAGGCGCGAAAGCGUGGGGAGCGAACAGG
rnacentral:rRNA from 1 species